rnacentral:misc_RNA from 1 species
GAUGAAGAACGUAGUGAAAUGCGAUAAGUAAUGUGAAUUGCAGAAUUCAGUGAAUCAUCGAAUCUUUGAACGCACAUUGCGCCCCUUGGUAUUCCGAGGGGCAUGCCUGUUCGAGCGUCAUUUCAACCCUCAAGCACAGCUUGGUCUUGGGCUUCGCCGCUAACCCGGCGGGUCUUAAAAUCAGUGGCGGUGCCGUCGGGCCCUGAGCGCAGUAUUCUCUCUCGCUAUAGGGUCCCGGCGGAUGCUGGCCAGUAACCCCCAAUUUUCUAUGGUUGACCUCGGAUCAGGUAGGGAUACCCGCUGAACUUAAGCAUAUCAAUAAGCGGAGGA